GUUGAACUCCAAGAAGUUUAAAAUUUGGGCUGAAACUGGAUAUUUAUUAGAACUUGGAAAUCUAUUUACUUGGUCUGCAUGGCACCCAGAUAUCUAUUGGAACAGUACAGGCCACCAGACACUUCCCACAUCUAGCCUGGAACUCUUACUCACAAAGGCUCUGCUUGGUUAACCUGUCGGAUGUAUAAAGGGUCCCUUGAAAUCAAUGUGAAUUACUGGUUUUCGACCAAAUGUGAGUCUGGAGCAACUGUUAAAGCUAUUCAGAAUAUAAUCAGACAUUUACACCAGGAGUGUCCCUGCACUGGAUAUGCUGAGCUGACCUUUUCAAACCCUUUGGAAGCUGACCUCCCAGUGGAAGACUACAUCUAGGGGCAUGCUGGAAGAAAUAAAAUAGUAGUAGGAGAAAUGGCUAUUAAUUUGAGUAUCAAUAGUGAUCUGCCCUGGAACAAAGGACAAUGAGGAGGAGUUUGAUAGAUAAGUAUGUGAGAUCCCUAGGUAUGUUGAAUUCCUUCAGCAAAGGUGGU